GCAGUCGCCGCGGGAAUACGAAGGGGGCUAGCGUUGUUCGGAAUUACUGGGCGUAAAGCGCACGUAGGCGGAUAUUUAAGUCAGGGGUGAAAUCCCAGAGCUCAACUCUGGAACUGCCUUUGAUACUGGGUAUCUUGAGUAUGGAAGAGGUGAGUGGAAUUCCGAGUGUAGAGGUGAAAUUCGUAGAUAUUCGGAGGAACACCAGUGGCGAAGGCGGCUCACUGGUCCAUUACUGACGCUGAGGUGCGAAAGCGUGGGGAGCAAACAGGAUUAGAUACCCGAGUAGUCCCUGUCUCUUAUAC
rnacentral:rRNA from 1 species